rnacentral:rRNA from 1 species
UACAGAGGUGCCGAGCGUUAGGCGGAAUCACUGGGCUUAAAGCGCGCGUAGGCGGGUCGUUAAGUGUCCGCGUGAAAUCCCACGGCUCAACCGUGGAACGGCCGGGCAGACUGGCGACCUCGAGGCGUUCAGGGGCGAGCGGAACAAGUGGUGGAGCGGUGAAAUGCGUAGAUAUCACUUGGAACGCCGACGGUGAAAACAGCUCGCUGGGAACGAUCUGACGCUGAGGCGCGAAAGCCAGGGGAGCGAACGGG